rnacentral:rRNA from 1 species
AUUGAACGCUGGCGGCAGGCCUAACACAUGCAAGUCGAGCGGAUGAAGAGAGCUUGCUCUCUGAUUCAGCGGCGGACGGGUGAGUAAUGCCUAGGAAUCUGCCUGGUAGUGGGGGACAACGUUUCGAAAGGAACGCUAAUACCGCAUACGUCCUACGGGAGACAGCAGGGGACCUUCGGGCCUUGCGCUAUCAGAGGAGCCUAGGUCGGAUUAGCUAGUAGGUGGGGUAAUGGCCCACCUAGGCGACGAUCCGUAACUGGUCUGAGAGGAUGAUCAGUCACACUGGAACUGAGACACGGUCCAGACUCCUACAGGAGGCAGCAGUGGGGAAUAUUGGACAAUGGGCGAAAGCCUGAUCCAGCCAUGCCGCGUGUGUGAAGAAGGUCUUCGGAUUGUAAAGCACUUUAAGUUGGGAGGAAGGGCAGUAAGUUAAUACCUUGCUGUUUUGACGUUACCAACAGAAUAAGUACCGGCUAACUUCGUGCCAGCCGCCGCCGUAACAC